UCGGCAUUAUUGGGCGUAAGCGCGCGCAGGUGGUUCCUUAAGUCUGAUGUGAAAGCCCACGGCUCAACCGUGGAGGGUCAUUGGAAACUGGGGAACUUGAGUGCAGAAGAGGAAAGUGGAAUUCCAAGUGUAGCGGUGAAAUGCGUAGAGAUUUGGAGGAACACCAGUGGCGAAGGCGACUUUCUGGUCUGUAACUGACACUGAGGCGCGAAAGCGUGGGGAGCAAACAGGAUUAGAUACCCUGGUAGUCCACGCCGUAAACGAUGAGUGCUAAGUGUUAGAGGGUUUCCGCCCUUUAGUGCUGCAGCUAACGCAUUAAGCACUCCGCCUGGGGAGUACGGCCGCAAGGCUGAAACUCAAAGGAAUUGACGGGGGCCCGCACAAGCGGUGGAGCAUGUGGUUUAAUUCGAAGCAACGCGAAGAACCUUACCAGGUCUUGACAUCCUCUGACAACCCUAGAGAUAGGGCUUUCCCCUUCGGGGGACAGAGUGACAGGUGGUGCAUGGUUGUCGUCAGCUCGUGUCGUGAGAUGUUGGGUUAAGUCCCGCAACGAGCGCAACCCUUGAUCUUAGUUGCCAGCAUUCAGUUGGGCACUCUAAGGUGACUGCCGGUGACAAACCGGAGGAAGGUGGGGGAUGACGUCAAAUCAUCAUGCCCCUUAUGACCUGGGCUACACACGUGCUACAAUGGAUGGUACAAAGGGCUGCAAACCUGCGAAGGUAAGCGAAUCCCAUAAAGCCAUUCUCAGUUCGGAUUGCAGGCUGCAACUCGCCUGCAUGAAGCCGGAAUCGCUAGUAAUCGCGGGAUCAGCAUGCGCGGGUGGAAUACGUUCCCGGGCCCUUGUACACACCGCCCGUCACACCACGAGAGUUUGUAACACCCGAAGUCGGUGAGGUAACCUUCAUGGAGCCAGCCGCCUAAGUGGGACAGAUGAUUGGGGUGAG
rnacentral:rRNA from 2 species